ensembl:lncRNA novel transcript
AGCUGAUCAGGAGGAGAAGUUCAUACUCCUUGAGCUGGAUCUAUCUGCACAUGCACCUGGCCCAGGAAGCUGAAAUGGGAGAUCUGAUGAGCAGUGGAGGACUGAACCAAAGCCCUUGGCUUUUGCUCCAUACCAGUCAGAGUCUCAUCAGGAUAUCAUGUUGCAUUGAGUAGUCAUGUCUCCACAGGCUUUUCUUGGCUGCGACUCUUACUCACGUUUUCCUUGGUUUUGCCCACCUUACAGUUUACAGUAGUGGUCAGCCGUUCUGGACAUACACAUGGGCAGAAGAUGUAGCCGCCUUGUGUGAAAAUUUGAGAGCUCUCUACUCCAUCUUCCGCUAGUAUAACCCUCAUUGGCUGGAAUCAUAAUGGUAUCUGCAUCUGGAACUGGCCACUAGUAUAACACCUACAAAAUGCACAACGGCCUUCAGACCAUAUGAAAAGUCUACAGGGUGAGAAUCUGAAAAUCCAGCAAUGAGGAGAAAAAAGUUAUCUCCCAUUAAGAACACUUUCCAGAAGCUACACAAUUCCAGUUAUUGAUUCAUCCCAUUUACUAGAACCUGUUCAUCUGGCUAUGCCCAAAACCAAGGGAAACUGAAAUAGUGGUUACCAUAUUCUGUAACUCAGCCUAGCCUAGCUUCAGAAGUUUUAAUAAAGAAAAUAAAAU